CCCAAGCAAACGUCAGUCAAGUGACACUCCAGCAAUAUGGUCGCUAUAAAAUUAUUACUUUUGACAAUUUUAACCUUCGUUUACGUGUCAAACGCUCUUCUCCCAAUUCAAACCGAGCUGACAGGACCUGACCGAGAAGCUGCUAUUGAUAGAUUAUAUAUUAUACUGCAUGAAGUAUAUCUUGAUGAAGGUCCAGUAUACAAGGUGUUGAACGUGCGUAAGGUUUUUAAUUUAAAAUCUUCUGGUUAUUCUGAGGAUAUUUACAACACGGGUCUGGCUGUUGGAAGAGUUCCCAAGGCGUGUGUAGUCAAAAAGAGUAUCGAGACUCGAUGGCCUUCCAAACCAAUUAACAAAAUUAAGAUCUUUUGUAAUGGUAUUCUCGAAUUUCAGAAGAACUAUUGAAUUAAACCAAUAUAUUUGUUAUUUUUUUUUUGCUUUGUACAUUUUUGUAUUUUAUACUGCAGAGAAAUUCUAUUAUUCAAAAUUUAAUAGUUACUUUGUACUUGUCAAGAUAGAUAACAAAAUUACAUUAAAGUUUAUUUAAAUAUAAUCUAUUUUAUUCAAAAUAUAAUAUUGCAGUUAAUUGAGGAUAGUGAUUUAGAAAAAUUUAGAAAUUUUGAUCCUUAUGUUGGUUGCUUAUUUUUUAAAUUGAAUGAUUUACAUGUAGGAUGAUGCAAGGUAAAAUGGCUCUUUAAAACGUCUGUUUAAAACGUCUGUAAUACUAAUCAUUCCUAAGUCAGCUAGGAAAAAUGUUUUAUUGCAUUUAUCGUCCAAUUCCGGUAUUUAAUUUUAAUUGUAAAGGUUUAUGCACUCAGUUAUACAAAUUAUUAACAAUAUGCAAAUAAAUCUUAGCACAGCAAAAAUACAGUUUUUGUUGAUUGUAAUAUAAUAAAUGUUUCCUUUAGUCUAAUCUGCCUAGAAUAACUUGAUGAAGUGAAACUGAUCAAGUCACAAUCUUGUUAAUGAACAUACCGGCCGAAAACGGGACGUUUUCAGCAUAAUAAAUGGAAUAAACGGGUCAAUUCCUGCUGUAAGAAUGUAUACAUUGUAUAUAUAAAAGGACAAAUGUUGAAGUUCAAGUGAUUUUUCAAUAAAUACAUACCGCAUUUUUUAUUAUUAUUUACAAAACAGUGCGUUAAUUAGACGUGAUAUCUCGUGAAAUAAAGCGAAUUAUUAUAUUUUUUCUCUUCAUUUCUUAUUCGGGAUAAACAAUUAGUUUUGGAAAUUAGAAUUUGUCUUCCACAGUUAGAAAGAAUUUUACGCUUUCCGCGAAAUUUUUUGUAAUUGAUCCCUAUAUAAAGAACAGUGUUUCCCAAGCAAACGUCAGUCAACUGACACUCCAGCAAUAUGGUCGCUUUAAAAUUAUUCUUCUUGACAAUUUUAACCUACGUCUACGUGUCAAACGGUAGUUCGAUCACCAAACCGAUAGAACUGACAGGACCUGAACGAGAAGCUGCUGUAGAACGUUUAUAUACUGGUCUGCAUAAAGUUUCUAUUGCAGGUGGUCCAGUAUACAAAGUGUUGAGAGUUAAUAAGGUGACUAAUCAUAAAAUAAGUAGUCUUCCUUCAGACAAUAGUACUAGUUUCUCUGUGGAUACCUACCAUGUUGAUCUGGUUGUUGGAAGAGUUAUUAAGAAGUGUAUAGUCCAAAUCACAAUCCAAAAUUAUCCGCCCACGACGGUCCGUAAUAGCAUUUCGAUCCUGUGUAAUGGGAAACUGGAAUUUAGAAUGAACUAUUGAGCAGUCGUCGAAUGAAUUGAACUAUUGAACUAAUAUAUUUUUCCAUUUUGUGGUAUAUACGUUUUAAACUGCAAAAAGGGUUUGGGUUAUUAUCUUCAAAACUUCACUACAUCAAUUUGUAUUUGCAAGAUUAAUAAUAAAAUUAGAUUCAGAAAAAGUGAAAAAGGUUCAGCUGUACUUGAUAUCUCGUGACAUAAAGCGAAUUAUUAUUUUUUCAGCUUCAUUUAUUAUACGGGAAUUUAUAAUUGAUCUUGCAUAGUUAUAAAUUAUUUAUUUACGCUUUAUGUAAAAUGUUUUAAAAUGCAUCCCUAUAUAAAGAACAGUGUUUCCCAAGCAAACGUCAGUCAAGUGACACUCCAGCAAUAUGGUCGCUAAUAAAUUUUUACUUUUGACAAUUUUAACCUACGUCUACGUGUCAAACGCUGAUAUUCUCCCGGAACCAAGCGAGCUGACAGGACCUGAACGAGAAGCUGCUAUUAAUAGAUUAUAUAUUGCACUGUAUGAAAUAUAUGUUGAUGAAGGUCCUGAAUACAGGGUGAUCAAAGUGAGUAAGAUUUUUAAUUUAAAAUCUCCUGGUUAUUCUGAGGAUACUUACGAUGUGGAUCUGGCUCUUGGAAGAAUUCCCAAGCAGUGUGUAGUCAAAAUGAGUAUCGAUACUCGAACGCCUUUCAGAACAAUUAAAAAAAUUAAGAUCCUGUGUAAUGGUAAACUGGAAUUUCAGAAGAUCUAUUAAACCAGAAUAUUUGUCAUUUUUUUU